GACAGAGGGGGCAAGCGUUGCUCGGAAUUACUGGGCGUAAAGGGCGCGUAGGCGGGAUGGCAAGUCGGUCGUGAAAUCCCUCGGCUCAACCGAGGAACGUCGAUCGAUACUGCUGUUCUUGAGGAUUGCAGAGGAGACUGGAAUUCCCGGUGUAGCGGUGAAAUGUGUAGAGAUCGGGAGGAACACCGGUGGCGAAGGCGGGGUCUCUGGGCAAUU
rnacentral:rRNA from 1 species